rnacentral:rRNA from 1 species
AACGAACGCUGGCGGCAUGCCUAACACAUGCAAGUCGAACGAGACCUUCGGGUCUAGUGGCGCACGGGUGCGUAACGCGUGGGAACCUGCCCUUAGGUUCGGAAUAACUCCCCGAAAGGGGUGCUAAUACCGGAUAAUGUCUUCGGACCAAAGAUUUAUCGCCUUUGGAUGAGCCCGCGUUGGAUUAGCUAGUUGGUAGGGUAAAAGCCUACCAAGGCGACGAUCCAUAGCUGGUCUGAGAGGAUGAUCAGCCACACUGGGACUGAGACACGGCCCAGACUCCUACGGGAGGCAGCAGUGGGGAAUAUUGGACAAUGGGCGAAAGCCUGAUCCAGCAAUGCCGCGUGAGUGAUGAAGGCCUUAUGGUUGUAAAGCUCUUUUACCCGGGAUGAUAAUGACAGUACCGGGAGAAUAAGCUCCGGCUAACUCCGUG